GACGAACGCUGGCGGCGUGCCUAAUACAUGCAAGUCGAGCGGAGUCGAUGAGAAGCUUGCUUCUUUGAGACUUAGCGGCGGACGGGUGAGUAACACGUAGGCAACCUGCCCAUAAGACUGGGAUAACUACCGGAAACGGUAGCUAAUACCGGAUAGGUUCUUCUCUCGCAUGAGAGAAGAAAGAAAGACGGAGCAAUCUGUCACUUAUGGAUGGGCCUGCGGCGCAUUAGCUAGUUGGUGGGGUAAAGGCCUACCAAGGCGACGAUGCGUAGCCGACCUGAGAGGGUGAUCGGCCACACUGGGACUGAGACACGGCCCAGACUCCUACGGGAGGCAGCAGUAGGGAAUCUUCCGCAAUGGACGAAAGUCUGACGGAGCAACGCCGCGUGAGUGAUGAAGGUUUUCGGAUCGUAAAGCUCUGUUGCCAGGGAAGAACGUCCUUGAGAGUAACUGCUCAAGGAGUGACGGUACCUGAGAAGAAAGCCCCGGCUAACUACGUGCCAGCCGCCGCUGUAAUAC
rnacentral:rRNA from 1 species